GACGAACGCUGGCGGCGUGCUUAACACAUGCAAGUCGAACGGAAAGGCCCUGCUUUUGUGGGGUGCUCGAGUGGCGAACGGGUGAGUAACACGUGAGUAACCUGCCCUUGACUUUGGGAUAACUUCAGGAAACUGGGGCUAAUACCGGAUAGGAGCUCCUGCUGCAUGGUGGGGGUUGGAAAGUUUCGGCGGUUGGGGAUGGACUCGCGGCUUAUCAGCUUGUUGGUGGGGUAGUGGCUUACCAAGGCUUUGACGGGUAGCCGGCCUGAGAGGGUGACCGGCCACAUUGGGACUGAGAUACGGCCCAGACUCCUACGGGAGGCAGCAAUGGGGAAUAUUGCACAAUGGGCGGAAGCCUGAUGCAGCAACGCCGCGUGCGGGAUGACGGCCUUCGGGUUGUAAACCGCUUUCGCCUGUGACGAAGCGUGAGUGACGGUAAGGGGUAAAGAAGCACCGGCUAACUACGUG
rnacentral:rRNA from 1 species